GACGAGGGAUCCUAGCGUUGCUCGGAAUUAUUGGGCGUAAAGCGGGUGUAGGUGGCUUGGUAAGUCGGCUGUGAAAGUCCAGGGCUCAACCCUGGGAUGCCGGUCGAUACUGCCGGACUAGAGUUCGGAAGAGGCGAGUGGAAUUCCCGGUGUAGCGGUGAAAUUCGUAGAUAUUCGCAAGAACACCAGUGGCGAAGGCGGCUCACUGGCCCGGUACUGACGCUGAGGUGCGAAAGCGUGGGGAGCAAACAGG
rnacentral:rRNA from 1 species